rnacentral:rRNA from 1 species
AAACUUUCAACAACGGAUCUCUUGGUUCUGGCAUCGAUGAAGGACGCAGCGGAAUGCGAUAAGUAAUGUGAAUUGCAGAAUUCAGUGAACCAUCGAAUCUUUGAACGCACAUUGCGCCCGCCAGUAUUCUGGCGGGCAUGCCUGUCCGAGCGUCAUUU